CUCCAGACUCCUACGGGAGGCAGCAGUGGGGAAUAUUGCACAAUGGGGGGAACCCUGAUGCAGCGACGCCGCGUGGGUGAAGAAGCGCCUCGGCGCGUAAAGCCCUGUCAGCAGGGAAGAAAAUGACGGUACCUGAAGAAGAAGCCCCGGCUAACUACGUGCCAGCAGCCGCGGUAAUACGUAGGGGGCAAGCGUUAUCCGGAUUCACUGGGUGUAAAGGGAGCGUAGACGGCGACGCAAGUCUGGAGUGAAAGCCCGGGGCCCAACCCCGGGACUGCUCUGGAAACUGCGUCGCUGGAGUACGGGAGGGGCAGGCGGAAUUCCUGGUGUAGCGGUGAAAUGCGUAGAUAUUAGGAGGAACACCAGUGGCGAAGGCGGCCUACUGGACGGUGACUGACGCUGAGGCUCGAAAGCGUGGGGAGCAAACAGGAUUAGAUACCCCUGUA
rnacentral:rRNA from 1 species